rnacentral:lncRNA from 1 species
UCUCUCUCUCUUUUUCUCUUCUCUCAAUUUGAUUUGUUUGCUAUUCUAUUCUCUUCUCUCAUUCAUAUGUAGUGAUCUUCUCUAUUUAUAGAUGAUUCUCAUGACCCAAUGAGAGGAGGAUACUUUAUUCAAAUCUGAUUUGAAUUGGUCCAAUACUCAUGAAAGGAGUCCUACAUGAGAUAUAAUUGCCAUCACUUAUGAC